rnacentral:pre_miRNA from 1 species
UCUUAUGGAUGAGCAAAGAAAGCGGUUUCUUGAACAGAAACUACUCCUGGUGUAGAUGCUAUGAA